CAGUCGCCGCGGUAAUACGAGGGGGGCAAGCGUUGUUCGGAAUUAUUGGGCGUAAAGGGUGCGUAGGCGGUUCAGCAAGUCUCGUGUGAAAUCCCCGGGCUCAACCUGGGAACUGCAUUUGUGACUGGCAAGCUAGAGUAUGGCAGAGGGGGGUGGAAUUCCGCGUGUAGCAGUGAAAUGCGUAGAUAUGCGGAGGAACACCGAUGGCGAAGGCAGCCCCCUGGGCCAAUACUGACGCUCAUGCACGAAAGCGUGGGGAGCAAACAGGAUUAGAUACCCGCGUAGUCCCUGUCUCUUAUAC
rnacentral:rRNA from 1 species